rnacentral:rRNA from 4 species
AUAAGCAAUUAUACAGCGAAACUGCGAAUGGCUCAUUAUAUAAGUUAUCGUUUAUUUGAUAGUACCUUACUACUUGGAUAACCGUGGUAAUUCUAGAGCUAAUACAUGCUAAAAAUCCCGACUUCGGAAGGGAUGUAUUUAUUAGAUUAAAAACCAAUGCCCUCCGGGGCUCCUUGGUGAUUCAUGAUAACUCCUCGAAUCGCAUGGCCUUGCGCCGGCGAUGGUUCAUUCAAAUUUCUUCCCUAUCAACUUUCGAUGUUUGGGUAUUGGCCAAACAUGGUUGCAACGGGUAACGGAGGGUUAGGGCUCGACCCCGGAGAAGGAGCCUGAGAAACGGCUACUACAUCCAAGGAAGGCAGCAGGCGCGCAAAUUACCCAAUCCCGACACGGGGAGGUAGUGACAAUAAAUACUGAUACAGGGCUCUUUUGGGUCUUGUAAUUGGAAUGAGUACAAUUUAAAUCCCUUAACGAGGAACAAUUGGAGGGCAAGUCUGGUGCCAGCAGCCGCGGUAAUUCCAGCU